UUGAAAGUGUUUUAUCAUGGCCAUGCAACGGGAUGUUCGGGAAGCCGGUCCAAGUCCGGCACUGCCCCCGCAACGGUAGGCGAGCGUCGUCUCGCGAGUCCGGAGACCGGUCCAGUUAGCAACGCCGUC
rnacentral:ncRNA from 2 species